AAUAUUUUAUGUCAUGUGAAGUCUUCCCUUUCAUCUCUCUUCUAAAUUCUAAUAGCUCCUCUGCAACAUCCCCCAUUAGUCUUCUGUCUCCUUGUGUUUUCUACUUGCACCUGAUGUCGCUGUUAACAAACACCUCUAACCUUCAUCGAACAUCUUCAACAAUCGGUGAAGACUUCACAGUUCUGAGGUUUUUGGCGCCGGUUGGGCGACGAUGGCGCUUCUACCGGAUGACGUUGGUCGGAUAAUCUGUUACCGACGUUGAGCCGCAAAUGGAUUUGAGGUUAUCUUAAACCCGCUGAAGCCACUAUCUUCCUCCGGAGAGAGAAGCGACAACCUGACAGCCAAUGUUGCUCAUGCGUCUUUUCGUCAUUUUUUUGAAACCUGAGGAUGGCUCCAUUAGACAUACAGUUUAGAGGUUGGUAAGGUAUCGCUUUUUAAAUGUGUAUAUAUAAUCUUAAACAAUUAUAUGUUGUCUUGAUGUAGAUUUGUUUAUCAUUAGCUUUAUUUUUUUGUUUAUUCUUAAUUGAAGAAGCAAUCUGAUAUUUUGUUAAACUCUGAUGACCUGGAUGCUAUGUGGCUUACCUUAAGAGAAAAUUACCUGCUUCAUGAAGCCACUGCUUCUGAAAAGGUCACUUAUGAAGACUUUUCCCAAAUUGCUUCUCUAUGUACAGGAAAAAUGGCUGAAAGUGUUAUUGUUUCUUUAACCCUUCAAAUUUCAUGAAAUUUGGAAAAGAUGAAUCAGGAAGGAUUCUCAUUCUUCCUUUUUAUCUGAACGUAAUGAGGUAUUAUGAAAUAUAAUUUGUUACCUGUAACUUUUUACAUAUAAAUUUAUACAAAUUUCCCGUAGAAGUUUAACUUUUAAUAUAAAAAAUCAUAUUAUUUACAAUGUACAAGUUUCUCUUACUCAGGCCAGAAUUGAUAUGAGUGAACUUGAUGAGGAUUCUGAUGGUUUUCUUCAACCUUAUGUGUGUAAGCUUGUAUUGUUUUUUCAUUAUUAAAGCCACCACUUCCAUAAAAAAAGUCAAAAUGACCAAAAUACCCCUACCUUAAACCUAAAAAACACUGAUACUUUGUUAGGUAAGUACCAAUUUCAUGAUCUUUCAUUUAAUCCCUUCACACCAGAAAGACAUGAUUCAUUUAGCCCUUGAUUUUGAAUAUUAACUUAGAAAAAGGGAAUUGAUAAUGGGAAGAAAAUCAUCAAAAACUUACCAACCCCACAAAACGGGAGAUCCUUAACUAGUUAUAAUAAAAAAAAAAAACGUGUUAUUAAAAUAUUUAAACAAAUCCAUUAAUCUACGUAUACAUUAU